UUGGCAGCAGGGCCCAUUUGCCAGACCCUCUUGCCCAGGCCCCCCUGUCCCUGCAGAGCACAUCAGUGCCCCUUUCCAUUCAUGCAUCAGGGGAGGGAGCAGGGCUCUGAGGGUUGCCCACCCCCAGGAGUGAGCCACCCACUGAAGUGCCCCCUCCAGCCUCUUCCUCUGAGCUCACAUUUCUAGGGAAGGACAGCUGGAGGUCUCCCUCACACCAUUCACCCCCCUCUCUCCAUCCCCACUCUGCCACGGUCGUUGAUGCCACAGGCCUGCCCCUGCAGAUGCUCCCUCCAGCGCCCAGAGGCUGCUGGACGCACUCGUGUUCGGGCCCCUUUCAGUGUCUUUGCCCUCAGUUAAGCUCAGUUGCUCAGUUGCGGCUGACUCUGCGACCCCAUGGACUGCAGCAUGCCAGGGCUCCCUGUGCAUCCCCAACUCCUGGAAAGCUUGCUUAAACUCAUGUCCAUCGAGUCGGUGAUGCCUUCCAGCCACCUUAUCCUCUGUUGUCCCCUUCUCCCGCCUUCCAUCUUUCCCAGCAUCAGAGUCUUUGCCCCGCUUCCCUUUAAAACUAGAGCCUCUUACAGGGCACCCUGGGCUGGCGGGGGGUAUGGCCACAGGCUCCACUGUCUGCCUCCCUCCUUCUAUCCACCCUGCCUCCAGCCUUCUUCUCUCUUUCUCUCUCUCCUCUGUCCCUCCCUGAGCCUGUGUGAUUGGUCGGUGAGCACCCACCCUGCGGGAGCUCGCUUCCUUUUCAGGGCUGACACUCGCCUUGUCCCACGCCUGUCUGUGGUGGUCACCUCCUUCCCCUUCAGAGUGGGCCCUGCUUCCUGCCCUACCUACCACCGGCCGGAGCUGUGCUCCUGGGGGUGACGUGGGCUCCUGUGGCUCCAACCCUGCUGGUCCUUUCUCCUUGCGUGUAGAAUGUUCUGGAAGCAAGAGGGGGCGCGCCGCCUUCCCGCCUGGGGAGGCUCGGAAGCCAUGUCACAUUGGAGGGCCUCUAGGAGCAAGCCGGGCCGGGUCUCAGAAGCUGCUCAGAAAGCACAGUGGGAAGGCAAGUCGGCCCCCUCCGCCUCAGCCUGCUCUGUUUGCACCCCUCCAAGCGCCCCCCAAGGUCAUCGCGACUUUUCCAGAACUCCCCUGGAUUGUAUUUAUGUCCUUCAAGCGCACGAAUUGAGAAAGCCGUCAGGAAGGAAUUCAGACAGAAAGAAAUGUGCUGGAGAGACACAUCUUUCUUCCCCAGGAAAUAUAAUUUAUUUCCAACUGCCUCCUCAUACGUGGGUCUCACGUUGUGAAGUCGUGUCUCGGAGUGAUUUUCACCCUCAUCCUUCCCCAAAAAAGCUACAUAAGGGCCUCUGGCACGGAGACUCGCGUUUUCCUCUCUUAGCCGUUAGUCAGACGUGCCUCCUUGGACCAGCCGCCCUGCCCGCCCCCCAGUGACUGCCCUCAGGAAGCCUGGUGGUUGGCGGGCCUUCAGGUGUGGGCAGGGCUUGCUGAGAAGGGCGUGGCCUGCCCCCUGCGCUGCCCAGCGCUGCCGGCUCCUUUGAUGCUCAGGUUUCUAAAUCAGGUCACCCAUCAGUCAAGACCUCAGAUUCCUUCUGGUUAUGCAGAUGAGAGAAGCCGGGAGGGGCGGGGAUUGGUCACUUGGGAUAGAUGCCCUUUGAAUCCCGUCACUGCCAGGAAGUCAUUCCAGGACCCCAAGAUGCUGUGACGUCCAAGAGACAAACAUUGCCACUCAGGGUUUGCAGCCCCGUCUGUCUCAGCCACCUAAGACAUCAUUAUCUCCAAACCACAGAUUUUCUUCCCCUUAGAAAACAAACGCUGUCUUGAAAUAGAUUUUUUUUUUAAUAUGAAUAAAUUCCCUGUCUCAUUUUAGGUAUCUGCUGAUUUUAAACAUAGAGCAAACCCUCUUUUCCAGUUUGGCUGUUGUGGUUUUGGUCCGAGUUGAAAUUAGAGGACGUCUCAUCAGCAGGGGAUUCUGUAAAACAAGAAAGUCUGUGUUUAAUCCAUGAUUUUUUUUUCAGUCCAUGCUUUAGACGUAUUUGUUUCACCUGUGUAGUAGGCACACUCCCCAAAGCAAGGCGGCCAUGACCGUGAACUUGAAAACCUUUCCUCCCCGCGUUUUACUUCGGAUGCGUUGCUUUUUUUGUUGACCGCAGUUGGUUUGGGGGUUUUUGCCUCUUUGGUUAAAAUGUCCUUAUCUGAGGCCUUCAUCCCAUCCAAAAAAAAGGCCUUCGGUACCAAAGAGAGGGCAGGGUUGGGGCAGGCGUGCCCAGCAGAGGCUCGCAGUGGUCCUGAAGGCUGUCCCCAGCCCCGGGACACCAAGCACCAGGCAGGUGCUGCCUGUGUGCAAGGUGAGGCAGGGUGCCCGUGUGAGUGAGAGGUGGGCUUGAGGCUUGUCUUCUGUUGAGUCUGACUGGCAUCUGUCAAGAGGGACCCCCUGAGGGUCUUGGUCAAGGAAUAGGGGAGAGCCUUGCCUGUCCUUGAGCAUUUAGCACUGAUAAAGAUUUCAGAGUCAGUAAGCAUUCCGUGACCUUGAGAUGCAGAUGGAAGAAAGGAACCAAACGAGAUGCGGGAGGGCUGGGGGAUCUUUGAAGUGCAGCAGACCCCCUCAGCGCACGCACCCGCUGUUGGGCACAGUCACCCCUAAAUCGGACCAUGUCCCCCCGUCUCCCUACUGCCAGGCAGCAUCCACGCCAACCCGGAAGCUAACGUCUGAGCGGGUUCAGAUACCCUUGUAAAACGAAAAGACUGCCCAACCCCUGGAGGCUCACACUCAGCACUGGCUCGUGGAAGUUACAGGGAUGUUGGGGGCUGGACGAAGGAUGUCCUGGGUCUCCCCAUCCCCCAUGGAUGCCUGUGUUAGAAACCCUGAGGGCCCGGCUUUGUGCAGAGACCUUGGUGGGCAGCCCAGUGUACUCGGGGGUGCAGCUGAGCGUGCGUUGAGCCACAUGGGGAAAAGGCACAUCUCUCUGGGAGGACAGACGCCAGAGCCCGGGGGGCCGCUGUCACUGGCCACAUGAGCACAUCAUGCCCCUCCCAGGCCCACCCCGGGGUCCCGGCCCCUUCCUCUCCAGGGCUAUUACAGGCGUGCUGAUGGACUCGAGUGGCUAGGCAGAGGGUACCCUUUGAAACUGCUUUAUGGCCGUUCAUGCAUCUUGGUCUUAGAAAUAACGCCUCCUCUAAACGUUGAAAAGCAGCACAGUUUCUCUCCUUCAACCAGGUUUUUGUGUCUAAAAUACAGCAAAUUCUUGAGGCUCCUGCCCUCGCCCUGGCUUAGCACCCGAAUACUAGCGAUGCUGUGCGCCCUUGAUCAAAGGCGUGCGGGCUGGCGGCCCCAGGAGGGCUGGUGUUCGGCCAUGCCAGACGCUGGCACCACCACGCGGGUCCCAGGGAGUGGCUUCCUGCCCCAGACAGACCCCUGCUCUCCUGCCCCUGACUUGGAACCGGGUUCCCAUCUUGUGGCUGGGUGUGUUACCGAGAGGGAAGCCUGAGCAGGUCAGAGGUGACGACCAAGAGGCAUUCUGGGGAGGUCCCAGGGAAGGCCUGGGUGCGGCGCAUUCUAGCGCAUUUCUCUCUGUAAAUAGCCGUGUAUAGAAGCUGGGAGAGUAGCCCGGGGUCUAUCCAGAGAUGGGUUUUUUUUUUUUUUUUUUUCUUUCGGUUGUUUUCUAUUACCUCAUUCAGCGAGUUUACGUUUCACGAUGACUCAAUGACGCUUUAUUUAUAUUGUUUGUACUGUAAUUAAAACCAUUGACAGAUAUAUCACUUCGCUUGUUAUUUCAUAUGAGCUUGUUUUGAUUAAAUAUGCCAGUUUGUAUUUUCCUGCCUUGGGAUUUUUUUUGUGUCAGCUGUACAGUAUUCUAAGGGGAAAAAAAAAAAAAAGAAAAAAAGAAAAAUGUGUAAAGUAAUGGAGAGAGGUGGCUAUAGCGUAGAGGCCUCUUUCUAAUAAAGAAAUGGAAAUAUGUCUACAUUGCUUCUUUGGAGGGUUUAUUUGUCAUGAUUAAUUG
ensembl:lncRNA